rnacentral:rRNA from 1 species
CGUAACACGUGAGCAACCUACCGAACUGUGGGGGAUAGCCGGCCUAACGGCCGAGUAAUACCGCAUACGCUUUCAGUGAGGCAUUUCAUGAAAGGAAACCUACGGGACAGAUCGAGGGGCUCGCGGCCUAUCAGCUAGUUGGCGAGGUAACGGCUCACCAAGGCAACGACGGGUAGCUGGUCUGAGAGGAUGGCCAGCCACAUUGGGACUGAGAUACGGCCCAG